rnacentral:rRNA from 1 species
UCGAACGAUGAUCCCAGCUUGCUGGGGGAUUAGUGGCGAACGGGUGAGUAACACGUGAGUAACCUGCCCUUGACUCUGGGAUAAGCCUGGGAAACUGGGUCUAAUACCGGAUAUGACCGCUCUGACGCAUGUCAGGUGGUGGAAAGCUUUUGUGGUUUUGGAUGGACUCGCGGCCUAUCAGCUUGUUGGUGGGGUAAUGGCCUACCAAGGCGACGACGGGUAGCCGGCCUGAGAGGGUGACCGGCCACACUGGGACUGAGACACGGCCCAGACUCCUACGGGAGGCAGCAGUGGGGAAUAUUGCACAAUGGGCGCAAGCCUGAUGCAGCGACGCCGCGUGAGGGAUGACGGCCUUCGGGUUGUAAACCUCUUUCAGUAGGGAAGAAGCGAAAGUGACGGUACCUGCAGAAGAAGCGCCGGCUAACUACGUGCCAGCAGCCGCGGUAAUACGUAGGGCGCAAGCGUUAUCCGGAAUUAUUGGGCGUAAAGAGCUCGUAGGCGGUUUGUCGCGUCUGCUGUGAAAGACCGGGGCUCAACUCCGGUUCUGCAGUGGGUACGGGCAGACUAGAGUGAUGUAGGGGAGACUGGAAUUCCUGGUGUAGCGGUGAAAUGCGCAGAUAUCAGGAGGAACACCGAUGGCGAAGGCAGGUCUCUGGGCAUUAACUGACGCUGAGGAGCGAAAGCAUGGGGAGCGAACAGGAUUAGAUACCCUGGUAGUCCAUGCCGUAAACGUUGGGCACUAGGUGUGGGGGACAUUCCACGUUUUCCGCGCCGUAGCUAACGCAUUAAGUGCCCCGCCUGGGGAGUACGGCCGCAAGGCUAAAACUCAAAGGAAUUGACGGGGGCCCGCACAAGCGGCGGAGCAUGCGGAUUAAUUCGAUGCAACGCGAAGAACCUUACCAAGGCUUGACAUGAACCGGUAAUACCU